rnacentral:misc_RNA from 1 species
AAGUCGUAACAAGGUUUCCGUAGGUGAACCUGCGGAAGGAUCAUUACAGAGAACUUGCCCUUCGGGGUAGAUCUCCCACCCUUUGUCUAUCUUACCUUUGUUGCUUUGGCGGGCCCGUCUCACGACCACCGGCUCAGGCUGGUCAGUGCCCGCCAGAGGAUCCCAAAUUCUUCUGUUAAUGUCGUCUGAGUACUAUAUAAUAGUUAAAACUUUCAACAACGGAUCUCUUGGUUCUG